GCUGUGAGCAAAUGUUGUAGACAAUGAUUAAUGACGUCACAAAGGGCUAUCCUUAGGUCUCGGGUUUUGUCUUGGAAACCUCAGGGCCAGAGAUGAUCCUGACCUAGCAAUCAUACCAGCUAGCCAAGUUUCUGAUAAUCUUCCACUCUGAGACAAAGACUUUUUUAUUUAAACAGGCCGCUGACCCAUAACCUAACUUGCAACUGAACUUGCGAAAUUAACCCCAUGAAGGAAUAGGGGAGGCCAGGAUCCUGUAUUUUCAUACCAUCCUCAAACAAUCAUCCGAAAUUUCUUUGACGGUGUUACGCAGUUUGACUUGACUCUGUUGAGAGAGAAAACUUACCAUUGAUGCAGGUGAUGAGGGCAGCCGUGGUUUGCUGAAUGGCCUCCCUGCAGUUCAAGGCUGGAUACUUGCCCAGAAAAGAUGAGACCGUCUGAAGCAAGUCAGUCAAUCUAACGUCGACAGGGCCGGAAAACGGGGAACCUGAAAACAAAAUGACAGGAGAUACAUCUUAUAUUUGGCAGAUGGACAAAUAUGCAAGCCUUGCUGUUUUCCCUUCUCAGACCAAACUGUACUUUUUUGUUGUUUCAAUCCCUAACUAGAAAAACAAGAAGGCAGAGGGAGUAUGGGCCUCCCGCAAGCAAAAUCCCAUGUAUCUACAUCUGAAACUAUGCAUUAUUCUGGCAACUGCCUGCUUUCAAAUAUGUGUUCACCAAGAUAACACAAAUGCAGCAAUGAGAGAGGUAUUUGGAGAGAAGAAUGAGCCAGCAGGGUUUUUUUGAAGUUGGUUUCUUGAACUGUUUCCAUAUCUGUGGAUAUUCCCCAGCAUAUUUCCUGGCCGAGACUAUUUUCCUUGCAGCCAAUCUAAUUCAAUUUCUCAUUCAGGCUGCAGGGAGUCGGCAUAUACAUAGAUUUGGGAAUACUACAUCCUUGAAAGGCAGCUACAUAAGAACAUAUAAAAUGACUGUGGGUACUUGCAAAGAGGAACAAUUGGACAAAGAGGCAUGAAGCUCCCCUUUGCCAUCCACAAAUACAGGGUGUUUCAAAAUGAUGGACUCAGUUUGAAACCGCUGUCUCUGCAACCAUGCUUUGCCCAUGAAUAAAACUCUUCUGCCUUGAAA